rnacentral:ncRNA from 2 species
GCUCGUCUCCGUGGUGAUUUGGGCCGGCCGGCUUGCAGCCACGUUAAACAAGUCGCUAAAAAGGUCGGGAGGCAAAAAGC